UUGGUCAAUGGGGGCAACCCUGAACCAGCCAAGUCGCGUGAAGGAUGAAGGUCUUAUGGAUUGUAAACUUCUUUUAUACAGGAAUAAAUUGGGGGACGUGUCGCCUUUUGCAUGUACUGUAUGAAUAAGGAUCGGCUAACUCCGUGCCAGCAGCCGCGGUAAUACGGAGGAUCCGAGCGUUAUCCGGAUUUAUUGGGUUUAAAGGGUGCGCAGGCGGGAUGUUAAGUCGGCGGUGAAAUUUUGCAGCUCAACUGUAAAAGUGCCUUCGAUACUGGCUUCCUUGAGUGUAGAUGAAGUAGGCGGAAUUUGUGGUGUAGCGGUGAAAUGCUUAGAUAUCACGAGGAACUCCGAUUGCGCAGGCAGCUUACUAAACUACAACUGACGCUCAUGCACGAAGGCGUGGGGAUCAAACA
rnacentral:rRNA from 1 species